GUGAUAGCAACCAGCAGCCCAUGGUUAGUUGCAUACGAAAAGCUAGGAUUUAGUGUUAGUGGAUUCCAUGGUGGGCUGCAGCCUACAGGAAGUUAGAUGUGUUGGCUACUGUAAGCGUUACUUGUGCCAUCACACUGUUUGUACCACCAGUACAAUUGACAUGGUGGUUGCAGAAUCAAGGGCCAUAAGGGAGCCUCGUGUUGUUCAGAAAGACAACCAAGGUUGGCAUCUUUUUAAUUCUUAUCGUUGGUGCAAGUAAGGUCAGAAGGAUGCUAAGGGAAAUACAAAUCCAAGGCAAGCAUGUGGAAAGCGCGUCAUAUGAUGUGAAAUCUGUUAUCAUGAAAAAGAGGGAAGGGCACAACCAUGAAGUUCGAGCAGCUAGAAAUAGCGGGCAUGUGAGCGAUGGUUCUGGGAGUGCUCUCAGAGGCCAACUGGAGUCAUUCAACUUCCUCUUCAGGAUUGACAGAGCCAGGACUACGAUCUGCCUUCCCCCACCUGCAAAUGCAGCAUGGUCAGCUAACCAAUUGAUGAUUUGCGAUAUUACGAGUUAGGCCCAGUUUAUCACUUUCUUCCAGUUUGUUGCCAACAAUCUGGCAGUGUCAUAAGGGAGUACACUGUUUGUUGCCAACGAUCUGGCAGUGCCAUAAGGGAGUACAUGUGUUUCAUCUGAAAAUAUAACACCGGGUUGAUUUGUAUUCUCCUUUUGAUGUGUUGACUAACACAUUCAAUCCGUAAGCGUCACUCAUGAGUGUGUCCAAGGGGUUGGAAGAGGAAGAGGAGGACGUAGGUGGGGCGGAAGGAG